rnacentral:rRNA from 1 species
UGGCGAACGGGUGAGUAACGCGUGAGGAACCUGCCUCAAAGAGGGGGACAACAGUUGGAAACGGCUGCUAAUACCGCAUAAGCCCACGACCCGGCAUCGGGAAGAGGGAAAAGGAGCAAUCCGCUUUGAGAUGGCCUCGCGUCCGAUUAGCUAGUUGGUGAGGUAACGGCCCACCAAGGCAACGAUCGGUAGCCGGACUGAGAGGUUGAACGGCCACAUUGGGACUGAGACACGGCCCAG